rnacentral:rRNA from 1 species
GAUGAACGCUGGCGGCGUGCUUAACACAUGCAAGUCGAACGGAAAGGCCUCUGCUUGCAGGGGUACUCGAGUGGCGAAUGGGUGAGUAACACGUGGGUGAUCUGCCCUGCACUUCGGGAUAAGCCUGGGAAACUGGGUCUAAUACCGGAUAGGACAAUGGUUUGGAUGCUGUUGUGGAAAGUUUUUCGGUGUGGGAUGAGCUCGCGGCCUAUCAGCUUGUUGGUGGGGUAAUGGCCUACCAAGGCGUCGACGGGUAGCCGGCCUGAGAGGGUGUACGGCCACAUUGGGACUGAGAUACGGCCCAGACUCCUACGGGAGGCAGCAGUGGGGAAUAUUGCACAAUGGGCGCAAGCCUGAUGCAGCGACGCCGCGUGGGGGAUGACGGCCUUCGGGUUGUAAACUCCUUUCGCUAGGGACGAAGCGUUUUUGUGACGGUACCUGGAGAAGAAGCACCGGCUAACUACGUG